rnacentral:rRNA from 1 species
GUACACGCUGUGACUAGCAUAUCAAUAAGCGGAGGAAAAGAAACUAACAAGGAUUCCCCUAGUAACGGCGAGUGAAGCGGGAAGAGCUCAAAUUUGAAAUCUUAAAGGGUUUCCCUUUACGAAUUGUAGUUUAAAGAAGUGUUUUCUGUUGAGGUUUUGGUAAAAGUUCUUUGGAAUAGGACAUCAUAGAGGGUGAGAAUCCCGUAUUUGACCUUUACUUUCAACUUUGUGAUACACUUUCAAAGAGUCGGAUUGUUUGGGAAUGCAGUCCAAAAUGGGUGGUAAAUUUCAUCUAAAGCUAAAUAUUGGCGAGAGACCGAUAGCGAACAAGUACCGUGAGGGAAAGAUGAAAAGAACUUUGAAAAGAGAGUUAAACAGUACGUGAAAUUGUCAAAAGGGAAGCGUUUGACACCCAGUGUUGUUUUUCUGAAAAUCAAUUAAAGAACUGUUUAUGCUAAGCUGUUUAGACUUUAUCAGCUAAUCUGUUUAGUUUAGAGCUUUUCUUUAAUGCACUUUUCAGUUAACAAGUCAACAUCAAUUUCUUUUGCUGUAAAAAAGCUUGAGGAAGGUGGCUUGAGAUUCGUCUUAAGUGUUUAUAGCCUCUUGCCUAUGCAGUCGGAGAGAUUGAGGUCUGCAGCGUAGACCCUUCGGGGCUAAAUGCAUUUGUGCUAAGUUAUAGCAUUUUAUAGACAACUUGUUGACUAUGAUUUGUCUUGUAGCUUACUCGCUUAUGUUAUUUUACCUACGCUUAGGAUGUUGACUGAUAUGUAGUCGUA